rnacentral:rRNA from 1 species
CGUGCGCUCUUACCAUGCAGUCACGGGGGCCCGCAAGGGCAACCGGCGAACGGGUGCGUAACACGUGAGCAAUCUGCCGGUCUCUGGGGGAUAGCCGGCCCAACGGCCGGGUAAUACCGCAUACGCUCAUCGGGGGACAUCCCCUGGUGAGGAAACCUCCGGGGGAGAUCGAGGAGCUCGCGACCUAUCAGCUAGUUGGUGCGGUAACGGCGCACCAAGGCGACGACGGGUAGCUGGUCUGAGAGGAUGGCCAGCCACAUUGGGACUGCGACACGGCCCAGACUCCUACGGGAGGCAGCAGUGGGGAAUAUUGCGCAAUGGACGAAAGUCUGACGCAGCGACGCCGCGUGUGGGAUGAAGCUCUUCGGGGUGUAAACCACUGUUGCCCGGGAAGAACCUCCCCUUUCGAGGGGACUGACGGUACCGGGUGAGGAAGCACCGGCUAACUCUGUGCCAGCAGCCGCGGUAAUACAGAGGGUGCGAGCGUUGUCCGGAAUCACUGGGCGUAAAGGGCGCGUAGGUGGCGGGAUAAGUGUGUGGUGAAAGCUCGGGGCUCAACCCCGAGUCUGCCAUGCAGACUGUCUUGCUCGAGCAUAGUAGAGGCAGGUGGAAUUCCGGGUGUAGCGGUGGAAUGCGUAGAGAUCCGGAAGAACACCGGUGGCGAAGGCGGCCUGCUGGGCUAUUGCUGACACUGAGGCGCGACAGCGUGGGGAGCAAACAGGAUUAGAUACCCUGGUAGUCCACGCCGUAAACGAUGGGUACUAGGUGUCUGGGGGAGCGACCCCCUGGGUGCCGGCGCUAACGCAUGAAGUACCCCGCCUGGGGAGUACGGCCGCAAGGCUGAAACUCAAAGGAAUUGACGG